GAAAGCCCACAAGUGUUUGAUAUGAUGAAAUGAAAACAAAGCACACCACAAUCAUCUCCAACCAAACCCCACAACACAACCCUUCUCUCAAUCUCAGUGACCACCACUCUCCUUUUCUUUCUCCUCCUCUGUCUUUGAGUGGUAACCAGGAAGCUUCUCUUUUAUCUUCUCCAAUAUACCUUUCUUCUCCUUCGCCUCUCCUUCAUGUUCCGAUGAGGUGGCAGCAGGUGGUGGCGGAGGAGGAGCUGCCGCCUCCUCACUCUUCUUGUGCCCUGGUAGCUUCUCCUUAAUCUUCUCCAGGAACCCCUUCUUUUCCUCACUUUCCACAACCUCAACUUUCUCCACUGGAACACUCGUGUCUUCCUUGUGAUAACCCUCUAUUUUCUCCUCGAUCUUCUUCUUCUCCUUCUUCUCCUUCUUCUUCUUCUUCUUUUUCUCCCCGUCUUCUCCUUCCUCCUC
rnacentral:lncRNA from 1 species